rnacentral:lncRNA from 1 species
CUUGUCAAAACAUCAUUUAACGGCCUUUAAAUGGUCAAAGAUCCAGCGCUUGUCGUAAUCUUUGAUUUUUAAUGGAUACGGUCACGUGAUCGUGAUGACGUCAGUGGAUACAAGCCGAGAAAAUGUCUCAAUGAGGACGAAGUCGAUCAUAUUUCUGCAUAAUUAAACAAUGGACAGUGUUAGCAUCAGUUUUCAAGGCAACUCUCUAACUUUAGAUAUUCGACCGUAUCAUUUUGAGCCGUUACUUGUAGAAAAAAAUCAAGUAGAAGAUAUAAAUUCG